UACGUAGGUGGCAAGCGUUGUCCGGAUUUAUUGGGCGUAAAGGGAGCGCAGGCGGUGACUUAAGUCUGAUGUGAAAGCCCACGGCUCAACCGUGGAAGGUCAUUGGAAACUGGGUCACUUGGAUAUAGAAGAGGAAAGUGGAAUUCCAUGUGUAGCGGUGAAAUGCGUAGAUAUAUGGAGGAACACCAGUGGCGAAGGCGACUUCUGGUCUAUUAUUGACGCUGAGGCUCGAAAGCAUGGGUAGCAACAGGAUUAGAUA
rnacentral:rRNA from 1 species